GAUGAACGCUGGCGGCGUGCCUAAUACAUGCAAGUCGAGCGAACAGAUGAGGAGCUUGCUCCUCUGACGUUAGCGGCGGACGGGUGAGUAACACGUGGAUAACCUACCUAUAAGACUGGGAUAACUUCGGGAAACCGGAGCUAAUACCGGAUAAUAUAUUGAACCGCAUGGUUCAAUAGUGAAAGACGGUUUUGCUGUCACUUAUAGAUGGAUCCGCGCCGCAUUAGCUAGUUGGUAAGGUAACGGCUUACCAAGGCGACGAUGCGUAGCCGACCUGAGAGGGUGAUCGGCCACACUGGAACUGAGACACGGUCCAGACUCCUACGGGAGGCAGCAGUAGGGAAUCUUCCGCAAUGGGCGAAAGCUUGACGGAGCAACGCCGCGUGAGUGAUGAAGGUCUUCGGAUCGUAAAACUCUGUUAUUAGGGAAGAGCAAAUGUGUAAGUAACUAUGCACGUCUUGACGGUACCUAAUCAGAAAGCCACGGCUAACUACGUG
rnacentral:rRNA from 1 species